UACAGAGGAUGCAAGCGUUAUCCGGAAUGAUUGGGCGUAAAGCGUCUGCAGGUGGCUUUUUAAGUCCGCCGUCAAAUCCCAGGGCUCAACUCUGGACAGGCGGUGGAAACUACCAAGCCGGAGUACGGUAGGGGCAGAGGGAAUUUCCGGUGGAGCGGUGAAAUGCGUAGAGAUCGGAAAGAACACCAACGGCGAAAGCGCUCUGCUGGGCCGACACUGACACUGAGACGCGAAAGCGUGGGGAGCAAACAGG
rnacentral:rRNA from 1 species